UUUUUUUUUUUUUUAUCUUUUUGCCUUUUCUAGGGCCGCGACCCUACAUCACAGCUCACGGCAACGCCAGAUCCUUAGCCCACUGAGCAAGGGCAGGGACCAAACCUGCAACCUCAUGGUUCCUAGUUGGAUUUGUUAACCACUGAGCCACGAUGGGAACUCCAAAAAUCAUUACUCUUAAUCACAAACCAGUUGAAUCGCUUACACAGGUUGAGGGGAGAGGGAACACUAAAGCCGCAAACUUGACCACUGAAACAUUCAAACUAGAGGCAGAGUACCCUACCAAGAAAUGAAUGAAAAGCUCCCAUAACCAAGAUUAGUAGGAAGCAGUGAUUUAUUUAGACACAAAAGUAAGGGUUUAGAUAAUGGUAGCCUGUCUUAUUGUGACCAAACUCUCUGUUGAAACAUUUCAAAAUGCUGAAAUUUAAAAAAAAAAACAGCUUUUUAAAUGCAUUGAAUACUCAAGGUAAGGGCUAUUAUGAGACUGGAAUUUAAUCAAAAACAAAAAAAUCAAGAGAAAAACAUGAAAAAUUCAAAAAAUGCUUUUCCCCUGAAGAAAUAUGCCAAUUCCUACUAAAGUUAGCUGUAGAGAAACGGGGGUGGAGGGAGCUCCUGCUGUGAUUCAGAGGGUUAAGAACCCAACACUGUCUCUCUGAGGAUGCGGGUUCAAUCCCUGGUCUCACUCAGUGUGUCAAAGAUCCAGUGUUGCCGCAAGCUGUGGCAUAGGUCGCAGAUGCAGCUCAGAUCUGAUGCUGCCAUGGCUGUGGUGUAGGCCAGCAGCUGCACCUCUGAUUCCACCCCAACCGCAGGAACUUUGAUAUGCUGUGGGUGUGGUUGUAAAAAAAUUAGAUAAAAUAAAUUUCAAGAAAGAAAAAGAACCGGGGUGUUUAAGUCAAGGCUCUGGUUCUGCCCAAAGUGGGGAAUCUGCAAAAACAUGGUCACACAGAUGUAUCUCAGUGUCACGGGGAGCUGGAAAGAAACCUGCUCCAUCCUCACGCAACCUCCCCCACAGGUGCUCUCCCACCUGCCCUGGCAUUGCCCCGAGGAAGGACAGAAACAGAGGAAAGAGUGAAAGGACGAGAGAGGAGGAGAGGGAUAGAGCGAGAGAGAGGAAGGAAGGAUGGAAGGAAGAAGGAAAAGAAGGGAGAGGGGUUGAGGCAGGGAGGAAUGGAAAGGAAAGAAAAAUGGGAGGCGGGGAGGAAAGGAAAAAGGGAGGGAAGAAAGGGAGGGAGGAUGGAAGGAAGGAGGAAGGGAGAGAGGAGGGAAAGGAGGAGAGAGAAAGAACCCUUCCUAGACGUCUAGAACAUCUGAUGGGAUGGCUCUGUAGCAGAAGAACCCCAAUUAACACCACCAGAGUUGACCAUGAAACCUCAAGCUUUGUUAGCUCAAAAUGGUUCCAAAUUGGUAAUGAUACAAGCGACAGGCAGAAACAAACAGGCCUCCACCUCGAAGAAAAACACCCUCAUCCUAGCCCUCAGAGAAUCCCCACAAAUUAUUGAUCGAGGGAAAGAAGUGACAUACACAGCCAAAGAGGAAGCAGAGCACUGCGAAACAGAGCUUUUACAAAGAAAAGACUGCAUGACUACCCACUAGAGAUUUCAGAUGCCUGAAGCAGAAGAUACAGAUUUCCUUAGAAAGAAAAUAAUCAUACUUAUACUAUGUAUGAAAAAAAACAAACCCACAGGCUUUAACAUGCCUGUAUGGGGAGAAACUACGAAAAGUCACCCAACAAGGAAUCAAAGAAAGGAAUCAAAUAAAACCUCUAGACAUGGGGGGGCGGUCAUGGUCAAACUUAGAGAUUCAGUGGACAGUUCUGGCCACGAAGAGGAUGCUGCUGAAAGUGAAAAUAAUAAGAUGAAAUACAGACCACAGAAAUUACCCAAAAUACAGCAUGGGGAAGAACAAGAUGCACUGUACAUAAAUGAGCUUAGAAGACCAAGUAAACGAAGCACAAAGACCUAACGCGCUUUCGCUGGGGUCCCAGAGGGAGAGAGAAGGGGAAACGGAGCAGAGGCAACCUUGCGGAGAAAAAAUGGCUACGGAUCUUCCACAAGGGCAAGAAAACCUGUAAAUCUUAGUAAGAUAAAUGAAGGAAAAUCACACUUGGCCUUAGAGCGAAGACAGAAAACAGAAGUCAAAGAAAAAUCUUAAAAUCAGCCGAAGAAAAAUAAAAGAAAAAGGAACACUUUCCAAAAUACUUUAUGGAGCCACAUGAUAAUGAUAUCAAAACCAAAAUCAUUACAAGGAAAAAAUGGUACAAAACCUUCUAUAAAUCUGGGUAUAAAAAUCAUCAUCAAAGGGUUUAAAAUCUACCAAUAUAUGAAAGGACGGUACACUGUGACUUUUAUAGGUUGAACUGUGUUCCCACCAAAGAAGCUAUAUUAACACCCUAACCCCGGAUCUUAGUGUGUGCAUCUCUGGAAAUAAACUGUCUCAGUUUAGUUUGGGCUGCUACUUAAAAAAAUCAUAGAUAGGACAGCAGGUAAACCACAGGAAUCUGUUCCUUACAGUUUAGAAGCUGAGAAGUUCAAGACCACAGCAUCAGCAUGGUCCCGUCUUUGUGCGGAACACCUGCGUGGUGCACGCCUGCCGCCUUCUGUGUCCUCACCUAGAAGAGAGCCCUUGGAUCUCUCGGGACCCUCUUUUAUGAGGCAACAAUCCCAGGAUGAGGGCUCCGCCUUCACGCUGAAGCACCUCCCAAAGGCCCCACCUACUGACACCAUCACCUUUGGGGGUGAGGAUUUCAACACGUGAAUGGCGGCACGUGGGCACAAACACUCAGACCUAAGUAAGUUCUUUGCAGAUUUAACCAAAUUAGGAUGACGUCAUUAGGGUGGGUCCUGACCCAGUAUGACUACUGCCCUUAUAAAAGGGGAAAUUUGAGAGUUCCCUGGCGCCUCCGCGGUUAAGGAUCUGGUGUUGUCACUGCUGUGGUACUUUUGGGUUAACCUCCUGGCCUGGGAACUUUCACGUGCCGCCGCACGGCCAACAGCAGAACAAGACAACAACAAAGGGGCAUGUGGACUCAGAGGCAGACACACACAUAGAGGGCAGACGAUGUGAAGAGAUGGGGAGAAAGUCGUGUGAAGAUGGAGAGAGAGGUGGGACUUCGCUGGCACAAGCCAAGGAAUGUCUGGAGCCACCAGCAGCUGGAAGAGCAAAGAAGGAUCCUUUCCUACAGGCGUCACGUGGAGCUUGGCCCUACUGACACCUUGAUUUCAGAUUUCUAUCCUCAAGAAACGGGAGACAAUAAAUUUCUGUUGUUCUAAAUCACCCAUUUUGUGGGGCUUUUCUACAGCAGCCUUCGGAAAGUAAAAAAUGACCGUGUAGGGUUAGGGUUACGGUCAGAAGUCAGGUUGAAUCAUUUCAAAAUAACAUAACAUCAGAAGAUUAAAGAGGAAAAGCUCUGAGAUAAUCUCGAUAGAUACAGAAGAAGCCUUUGACAGAAUUUAACACGAAUGAUUAAAACCCUCAGCAAAACAAGAAAAGAGGGAACUUCUUCAUCCUGGCAAAGGCUACUUACGAGACACCUGCAGCAAGUGUCUACUUCACUGUGAGAGACCGAAUGCGUUCUCUGUAAGACUGGCAACUAUGCAAGGCUGUCCUGUCUCACCACAUCUAUAAAUACUGUGCUGGAGGUUUUGGACAGGGCAAUAAGGCGAGAAAAAGAAACAAAAAGAAAGGAGAAAGGAAAAAAGAAGAAAUAGAACGGUAUACAAAUACCACAUGACGGCCUACGGAAAACACCCUCAAAGAAUCUAUUAAAAAUUGUUCUGGUUCCACGUAAAAUCUUUAGAGGUCAAGACAUUCAUUCUUACAAAGGGUAAAAAGCCGAACAGACUGCAAAUCAGCAACUCUUCUCAGAUCCAUCAGAGAACUGAAGUCACAGGGCAAAUUACCACCCUGCAAACUAGAGAGAUGUGUGAACUCAGAGAUUCACAGUUUAUCUCUGGAGUCGGCACUGGUAGAAGCACUUAAAUGGUAGCUGAAUGAUUCGAAUGGAUGAGCUGAGCCAUGAACAACCGUGGGAGGUAAAAACUCCUGGGGAGGGAGCCUCUGAGGGAGCCCCACACUCUGCUGAGUUUAACCUUGCAUAGCACCACCAGAUUCUCAGGGUAAAGAUCAGAGAAAAGGCCCCUCACGCUUCCAGCAAGGGAGGGGAAAGCCAUUAUUAAGAAAUAUGCCCAGUGGAGUUCCCAUCGUGGCUCUGCCGUUAACGGACCUGACUAGCAUCCAUAAGGAUGCAGGUUCAAUCCCUGGCCUCACUCAGUGGGUUAAGGAUCCGGCACUGCUGUGAGGUGUCGUGUAAGUCGCAGACACAGCUUGGAUCCCAAGUUGCCGUGAGCUGUGGCGCAGGUCAGCAGCUACAACGCCAACUUGACCCCUCGCCUGGGAACCUCCAAAUGCUACAGGUGCAGCCCUAAAAAGACAGAAAAAGAAGAAAAAGAAAAAGAAAUAUGCCCAGCUACAUCUCGUCCUCCUUAAUACAGGCCUGCACUCAAGGAAAGUCUUUUAUCGAUGCCAAACCAACCUGGAUGAAGGGAAACACUUAACUCCAGCCCACUCUAGCCUUCUUAUCUAAAGGGACGGGGAAAAAACAGAAAAGUACUAACGAAUGGCAAGACCAGGAGCACAGGCACAUAAGAGACUGAAACCUAAUCACCGUUUUAGAGAAGCCCUCCAUCGCACGUACCGUACCACCACGUCAAUGGGUUCCUGUAUAACAGCAGAGAUUUACAGCCGAAAGGACUACACGGCUAAGACCCUGUUUAAGAAGGAGUCAGAAUCCCCUGGGAGCCUAGCAGCUUCCAUCCCGGGCCCGGGAACUUCCAUGUGCUGUGGGUGUGGAAGAAGAGAAGGAAGAGAAGGAGGAGAAGGAGGAGGAGGAGGAGGAGUCGCUAGGAAAACCGAAAAAACAACAGAGGAGAGAAAAGUAAGGACACCAGGGGGCAACUUUAGCCUCUGACACCUACAGCUACAGCAAACAAUAAGCACAGCUUAACUUCUAGGCAGAGAAACAUGAAACCUCACACUGAAGCACUGUUUCCUCUUACCAGGCACAUACCUGACUUUCAACAAAAAAUUACCGGGCAUAAAGAGACAAAGCAAGCAACAGGGCCACACUCAGGUAUGGUGGAGAUUUUAGAAUUACGAUUAUGAUUAGACACUAAGAACUAUGAUUAGACACUAAGAACUCUAACAGGGAAAGUGGACAAGAUGCAGGAACAGAUGGGUAACGUGUAAACUCCAAGAAAGAACCCAAAGGAAAUGGUAUCAUGAAAAACACGGACUUCCCGUUGUGGCUCAGCGAUAACAAACCCGACUAGUAUCCACGAGGAUGCGGGUUCCACCCCUGGCCUCAUUCAGUGGGUUCAGGAUCCGGUGUUGCUGUGAGCUGUGGGGUAGCCCGGCACCAUGGCUCCAGUUCGGCCCCAAGCCUGGGAAUCUCUAUACGCCGCAGGUGCAAAAAAAAAGAAACAAAUAAAAACAAUAAAAAAAUGAAUUUCGUGUAUCAAGUACACUGUCAAGAGAGUGACAAGACAACAUGCAGAAGGGAGAAAAUAUCUGCACGUCAAAUGGCUGGUAAGAGAUGAGUUUCCAGAGCACAUAAAGAAUCCCUAAACUCAACAACAACAACGCCAUUCAAAACAAGGGAAGGACUGGGACAGACACUUCUCCAAAGAACACAUACAAAUGGCCAGUGAGCACAUGAGGAGACCCUCAGCAUCAUCAGUCACAGGAGAACCACAAUGAAAUGACACGUCACACUCACGAGGGUGGCGAUUGUUCUCCUAAGAAAAGGAAAACCACAAGUGUGGGUAAGGAGGUAGAGAAACCGGAAAUUGGUAGUGUAUUGCGGACAGGAAUGAAAAAACGGUACAACCUCUGGGCGAAACAGCACGGCAGCGCCUCAACAAGUUGUACACAGUAAUUACCGUGUGAUCCAAAAUUCCACUUCCAGAUACAUAUCCAAAAGAAUCAAGAGCAGGGACUCGGAGUUCCCGUCGUGGCGCAGUGGUUAACGAAUCCGACUAGGAACCACGAGGUUACGGGUUCGAUCCCUGCCCUUGCUCAGUGGGUUAACGAUCCAGCAUUGCCGUGAGGUGUGGUAUAAGUUGCAGACGCGGCUUGGAUCCUGUGUUGCGGUGGCCCUGGCAUAGGCUGGUGGCUACAGCUCC
rnacentral:lncRNA from 1 species